AUGCGCAAUAUCCACUUACAGAAGCUAAUGUUAGAAUGGGGUAUUGAUCGGCCGAAUAAGGAUCCUGCACAAGAAGAUCAUGUUCUUGAAAGUCUUAAGCCACAUAGCAGUCUUUUGGAUCUACACAUUGGAGGGCAUGGAGGUGCUACUUGCCCUUCAUGGUUAGGUGAGAACCUCUCAGUUAAUAAAUUGGAAUUUCUUUGUCUGGUUGAUGUAGCUUGGAUCAAAUUUCCACCUCUAGGGCAGUUGUGGUUUGUUAAUGAGCUUGGUGAAGAGCAUCUGAGUGGCAUCCCAAGUCAGAGCUUUCAAAAUUUGAAAAUGCUAAAAUUGGUUGAGAUACCAAGGUUGAGAAAAUGGGUUGAAAAUAGCACUUGUCAUUUGUUCUCUCAGCUAGAAGUUCUCAUCGUUAAAGGUUGCUCUGAACUCUUGGAGCUGCCAUUUCCAGGCUGUCAAUCUGAGCAAGAUGCAAACAUGACUUGGUUUCCUAGAUUACGGAGGCUUGUGAUUGAAGACUGCCCAAAGCUGUUGGCAUUGCCUCAUGUUCCUUGGACUCGCAGUCCAUGCUCUGCUAGGAUAGCUCGGGCAGGGUCACGUUUUGAGGAGCUAAUUUACUAUGAGAAUUAUAGAUCGGAGUUGAGCUUGAGAGUUGAAGGGAAGGAGGGUGGUCUAACUGAUAGCAAGUUUUGGAAUGUGUUGGCAUUGCAUAAUUAA
rnacentral:rRNA from 1 species